rnacentral:rRNA from 1 species
UACGGAGGGUCCAAGCGUUAUCCGGAAUCAUUGGGUUUAAAGGGUCCGUAGGCGGUUUUGUAAGUCAGUGGUGAAAGCCCAUCGCUCAACGGUGGAACGGCCAUUGAUACUGCAAGACUUGAAUUAUUGGGAAGUAACUAGAAUAUGUAGUGUAGCGGUGAAAUGCUUAGAGAUUACAUGGAAUACCAAUUGCGAAGGCAGGUUACUACUAAUGGAUUGACGCUGAUGGACGAAAGCGUGGGUAGCGAACAGG